ensembl:lncRNA
GCCUUUUUUCCCUCUGUUUAAAAAAGAAUUGGAGGUUUUCUAUCAUAGGUAGUGUGUUAGCAAUGCUAGUUAUUGUAGGUAACCAGUUAGCUUACGUUACCCUAGCUAAUGCUAAUAAAUGGCCUAUUGUUAGUACCUAGUUAUAAAAAUAUUACUGUAGCUGAUUCCACUGCUCUAUUUGGGCGGAGCUAUUCUUUUGGUGUUUUUGGCCAAAGUCCACCUUUAAUAAGAACCCCAGAUGUUUAAAAAUGACCCUUUAUGGAUGUCUUAUACAGUACCUGCUGUCUCGACUACCACCCCUAAACUUUACCAUUAGAGAAAUUACCUCAUAGCUCUUAAUGUGACUAUGUUAAAUUACUUUUCCUUGUCAGCAGCCAGUGGUUUCCUGUGUAAAAUAUGCCAUUUCAAGCCUGGUCCCCAAUCUGUGUGUGCAGUUUUUUUCUUUUCAGCAAUUUGGCAACACAGCACAAACUAACAGGUCGGGAACCAGGCUAUGCCCCACCCCCGUUGCAUAUGUUAAAAGGCCAUGACCAAGGCCAUAACGGUCAGACUGUUACUUCGCCAAGUUAUUAUGGGAGCGAUUCGAAGUUGACCCUUUCCUGAUUCAGAUACUGUAUAGCCUACUCUAUAUUUGUACUACAUUUUGUAACGCUGAGACGUUGAAUUAGCAGCAUUGGUGCAGUAGUUCUCACACGUGUCCUAGUCUGGUUUCUUUAAACUGUUUUUCCCCUUCCCGGGAAAAACAAUUCGCAAUUCUCUUUCUUAAACAGAUUCUGUAGUGUCCGGACCCUGUCAUUUAAUGACAGCAGGCUUCAUGAACUAACCUGUGUGAUAUAGCUAUAGCAGCUACUUGAUCUACAUGUAGCUAUAGCAACUACGUGACUGUUAGCAAUGUAGUUAAGUGUAUUGAACAAUGUGGUAUUCCUUGAGGGUAUGCUACCAUUCCAAGUCACAGCAAUUCUGUUUGUCAUGUCUAGCCUGCAUGCUUGAGUCUGAUGCCCGUUUACACCCAUUGCUUACAUGCAUCCUCCCGUGUUUGAAUUUCGUUCACAUUCUCAUUGGGACAACGCUUCCUGACAGGUGCGCACAAUUCAAAAACUCGCAGUGAACUGUUUCAGUUUGAAAACGGAGAGGAUCAAGAUGAGUGACGGGUGUAAACGCAGAUUGAGAGUGAAGGCUCAGCAUUCACACCAGCUUCACUGUAUGUAGCGUCAUCGCAGCUAUUGAUUACAAGCUUUUUUAAGCUGUGAACUUAUUGAUGGAGGUGUUUGUUGAUUUGAUGAUAUUGUCCGUAGACUAGCUCUUUUUCGAAAAGUGUCAUGAAUAUUGCAUCGGUUCAUUUUGUACUCACUGGGUAUGACAAAUAUACAGACGUAUGGUGAAUUCUAAUCAAUCUAAUCAAUCUAUCACUGUAAAUAAUUCCGAUGUACUAUGUGCUCUCAUUGUUGAGUUAUUUAUUUUCUCUCAACCAGUGCUUUUCGCAGACGCGUAGUUGUGUAUCGGGUUGAAUUUUGCAAUUCAUUCUUCAUACGAUUCUGACUUGUGCGCUUAGCGCACGUGUUUUUUGCCAUAUUGGACUUGGUUGUCCGCAUUGCUUAUGAAACACACUGUGGAUUUUGUGUGGAAAUAAAUGUUGCAAAGUGCUAC